CGACCUGAGUCAGCAG
rnacentral:rRNA from 1 species